AGGCUCUUGGCCAUCUCGUGUUCUGUUCUAUUUAUUUCUUUUUAUGACACUUAGAGGCUUCAGAGAAGAUAGCUGAGGGGUUCAUCUUGUUGGAAAAUUCGCAUGGAACUAAGCAAGCUUGGACGGCGUUUCAAAGGUUAAUUUUGUUGGGUAGAGACGAGAUGGAGAUGAACCAUGGAGUUUUGAGCCUAAUCGGACAUCCUCGGCUCGGAUCGAGAAAUCUCAUUUCAGUUUUGAUAGGAGAUCAUUGAUGCAUCUUCCAUCUUGGCAAGCAUAUCCUACGAAAAUUUUCUUCAUUAUAAUUGUGUGAGAGUAUGUCUAGACUCCUGAUUUGUGAGGAUUGUUGAAAUAUCAUUUUCUCGAAGUGUGGCAGGAUAAAAGUUACGUGAAGAUCUCCACAAAGUGCACUUGGAUGUUUCGUUUGCCGAGGUCCAUCUCGUAGAUCGAAUACCUGUCGUCCAGGGUUGACCGCUGUGAUGUUAGCACUAGUAUUGUUAUUAUUUUAGAGGG
rnacentral:sRNA from 1 species